AUUUGGUUAACAUUCUACC
rnacentral:miRNA from 1 species